rnacentral:rRNA from 1 species
GACGUAGGGCGCGAGCGUUGUCCGGAUUUAUUGGGCGUAAAGAGCUCGUAGGCGGCUUGUUGCGUCAGCUGUGAAAACCCGCAGCUCAACUGUGGGCUUGCAGCUGAUACGGGCAGGCUUGAGUUCGGUAGGGGAGACUGGAAUUCCUGGUGUAGCGGUGAAAUGCGCAGAUAUCUGGAGGAACACCGGUGGCGAAGGCGGCAUCCUGGACCAAUAUUGACGCUGAGGAGCGAAAGCCAGGGGAGCAAACGGG